GAGGAAUAUUGCGCAAUGGGGGCAACCCUGACGCAGCGACGCCGCGUGGAUGAUGAAGGCCCUUGGGUCGUAAAAUCCUGUCAGAUGGAAAGAAAUGCUCUAUGGCUAAUAUCUGUAGAGUUUGACGGUACCAUCAAAGGAAGCACCGGCUAACUCCGUGCCAGCAGCCGCGGUAAUACGGAGGGUGCAAGCGUUGUUCGGAAUUACUGGGCGUAAAGCGCGCGUAGGCGGUUUUAUAAGUCAGAUGUGAAAGCCCUCGGCUCAACCGGGGACGUGCAUUUGAAACUGUGAGACUUGAGUAUUGGAGGGGGUGGUGGAAUUCCCGGUGUAGAGGUGAAAUUCGUAGAUAUCGGGAGGAAUACCGGUGGCGAAGGCGACCACCUGGCCAAAUACUGACGCUGAGGUGCGAAAGCGUGGGGAGCAAAC
rnacentral:rRNA from 1 species